rnacentral:misc_RNA from 1 species
CGCCACGCGUCACAAAGGCAGCGCACGCGACGCAGUGACGCAUGCCCUCUUCGGCUCCGCCUGCUCGCGGCGCUCCUCGGCAGGUGGAGUCGAGGGCUUACGUGCAAGACGGCGACAGGGGGAGAAGAGUGAGUGAACGGCAGCAUUCCUGCCGCUGCAGCAAUUUGAUUGCUGAUGUCGGGCAGGGGUGGCCGUAGCGCUCUCCCGUGCCUGUGCGUGCGUGCGCGAACGCGCGGGUUCACUCUUUGACGGUUCUCCUCCUCCCAGAUCAGCGCGCGACGAGCAUGGGUGUGCAUGUGUGAGCGCGUGUCUCACUCUCACGUCGUUUCGGCUUCUGCGCUGAUUGCCGCCCCAUGAAUGAGACCGCCAUCGACCGUGUGGCCGACGGGGGGGAGGUUCAGUGGCGUUUUCGGCGCUAGCGACGGCCACCCAACGGGCGACAGCGCAUGUCUUCACGCAGAGCCACAAGCUGGCGGCUAGCACGAACUGCCGCGAGUGAGACUUAUAGCCCUACCGUCGUGAUGGCCUGAUGCGGAGCUUCGAGGGCAUUUCACCACGUCUGCGUCAGCUCAGGGCUGGACGGCUACCUCAACCUUGACGAGUUCAAGACGGCCUUGCGCCCGGUGGGAAACUCCGAGGACAACCUGAGUGUCUAGGUUGUGUGCGCCGGCAGAUUCGGCGGCACUGUUGACGACCUCGGCCUGCAAGAAACGAUGUUGUGCGGCGCGACUAGCAGCCCUGUGUACGGGGUGUUUUUUUUUUACCAUCUCGACCUCAAGACGCUCGUACAGACGAAGCCGAGGCAGCACCGUCGGCUUGGCUUUGGGGAUGGGGCCGUGCGAGCGCAGUACCGCGACUGUGGGCUGCGCAGCGUCUACGGCGGCGUGGGGCUCGCGGCAGCCUGCCUCUUUGCCCGAAGCGCCCUUGCGUCUGUCAGCGGCGAGUGCAUCUUGAGCAUGUUGGCUUUCAAUCGCGGCAGACGUACGCACGAGGGCUCGCCAGUGCGGCCAAUGGCUGCAGCUUGUGCGUCUUGCAUGAGUGCAUUUUGGUAUUGGCAACGUGGGUGGUGUCUGCCAAAUGCGCUCUUCUCCAUGGUGCCGUAUCCCGCCGUGUGGUAGCGGAGCUUGGCGUACACCUUCUCUGCACGGCGUCCUUGCUCACGGUGACGCGACCAUGCAGAGUCGCUCCCUCUUCCCCUCGCACACACGCAUCUGGCCAUGCUUGGGUGCGUGCAGUACGUGUCCGCGUGGCAAAAGACGGACGCCCCGACACUGCGACACGAGAGAGCGCCUCCACCCACACACUCACACGUACAUGUGAGGGAGCGUCUUCUUAUCGGCGUUUGCGUCGCCGGUGGUUACGCGGAGGUUUGCAUGUGUGCACAGAAGGGUGCAAAAGCCAUGCGCGGGUGUGCGUGUGUGGGGGUGUGUUUACGCACGUAGAAGAAUGACUGCCGUCCCCUCCCCACCCCGCCCCACACACUGCUCCGAUAUGUUUUCGAGUGGGCAGCUACUCUCUUUAUGUGGCUGCGGAUGUCGUGUCCUUCCACAGGGCAAUGCUCGUCUGGCGCCGAUGGCGCAGCACGCGUAUGC